CCAGGAUAGCAGCGCUACACAAACUGCCUGCCAGUCUCUCACCUUGCCCUUAUUAUGAAAAUUAUGCAUUUUUUUCAUGCGUAUGCAGAAGGGCUGCUUUCAGAUACAGGCUCAGAAAUGCCAACUUUAAACACUUUAAAUUUUUUAUGCAAGUCUUGUUUCAUAGAGGUGACAACUGCCAGUUACAAUUGUGCAUUUUAAGAUUCUGUAGUAGAGCAAACUCAGUUUGUUCCCUUGAACUUUCAGAGUGCAUGAAAAAGCCAAUCCAUUUCAUAACACAGAAAUGGGUUUAGCUCAACAAGGGUGGACAAGACCCAUUGUAACGCAUGGUCAGGGCCAUCAGCUUUGUCCACAUUUGUCACUUCUCUUACUCAAGGAUGCAUCAAGAGAUGGGAUCGUGGGAACUACUGAGUUCCUGAAAGCAAAAGGGCACAGCUAGGAAUAACAGCCACUGUAAACUCAUGGAACUUAUUUUAAAAUAAGUCUGCAGGGUCUAGAGUCAGCCGAAAGUGGUUUUGCAAGGGGUUACAGGAGACUUAGGGAAACAAAGCAUCUGUGCCCAAAGGAACCACGGAAGGGUGAGACUUUGGAGCUGUGCCUCAACAGGAAUUAGCAGUGCCUUGUUUAUUGCACUGAGCACUGAAGCCCUGAAGAGAGCCCAGAUGAAUCUAUCUGGUGGGAGAUUCUGCCUAAGGGAAGGAAUUUAGCACUUAAAAAUAGACAUUAAUUAACAAAAAAAUAGUACUGUCUGAUUGUUUUGGAAAAUAAGCUGCCUGAUGAUGGACAAAUAUUUUGGGGAAGACGUAGAAGAUGCUGCAGUGCAAAUAUUAGGAUUUUCCAAAUGCUUCGGAGUUCAUAUUUUCACUAAAAUCUUGUAGAGGGAGAAAAAUUAAGAACAGAAUUCAGAGAAACGUAACAAGAAAGGGGACAUUUAGAAAACAUUCAGAGAAACAGUCUGAAAUCACCUUGGCAUUUGAAACACUGGAUGCGACAUUUUCCAAAAAUUAGGCAAACAUAUAAGAUCAGGUUUCCUGAUACGCGUUCUUGUGUGAAUGGAAAUCAGAUUCUUAACAGUUAUACUAAUGUAGUUUAUUCUUGAUUUCCGACAUGUGAGUCCUUUUCAAGGUACAUUUAAACUUAGUUUCACAAUAGAGGAGGUCAAGAUAGAAAUACAGCUUCACCUCCCAGUUGUUCUGCCACUUGACUUGUAUUUAAAGCUACUAUUUGUUGCCAUGAUGCAGUCUUUUGAAAGAUGAUCACUGUACCUGAAAUGUAGAUAGUUAUAAAAAUGGCAUUAAUUUGCUUAGAGCGAGAGAUUUUCACAGGAGAGCAACUAGCAGAAAACAUUAUGAAAAUGUCCAAGUGGACUGGUAAUUGAGUUGAUUAGUAUGACCUUGGUUAUGAAGGUAAUAGAAGAAUGAACGGUGCUUAGACUGAGUUAUAACCCUGCUACCUUGCUGGGGAUGCAGUGAGGCUAGUAAUUUGCUCAGGGUGAGCCCCAUAGCCCUGAUCUCCCUGCCGGGGCGAUGCACCCCCAGCAGCAGGGCUCAGCUCCUGUCCCAGCACAGCUCAGCACUGGCAUUUGCUGCUGCAAACUGAUUGCUGUGCAAGGUUCCUUGAUCAAUUAGGCAAAUGAAACAUAUAUUUGUAAGAAAACUUGAAUAACGAAAAAUUUAGUUUCAAUGCAGAAGAUACACGUCAAUGAAUUAAACAUGUCAAAGAUGUCUUCAUUUAUCUAAAUCCCAGCACAUCCAACCACACUAUCCUGGCACUGCUUUUGAAUCCAUCACGUCUCAGCCCUGCAGUAAGGCUCUAACAAGUAAAGGUUAGUCCCACAGACUGGGGACUCUUUUUGUUCAGAGACUGAUUCAGUCAACGACCUGAAUGCUUGAGUGCUGUGACUGCCUUUCUUUCAUUAGCCCAUCUGUAAUUAUUUAAAGAUAUUUUAAGCAGCUUAACUUUAGAGGUGAAGACAAGAACAGCAGUAACAAGAAAACAAACGCAAGCCCACCACCACCAAACAAUUAGACAAAGAAAGUAAGGAAACAAAAUUCUAAUAGCAGUACUUGGUAUUCAUGCCCCUGCUGGUAACCUGGUUGUGAUAUAAAUUAUCUAUUAGGCAUCCACAGUGUAUGUGCUGUGAGAAAAGAACUCACAGACAGGAAGAUACAGAAGCUCUGUGAGCAAUCUUUAAAUACUAAACAUCAGAAAAUAUGUCUUGUUUUUUUUUUGAAACAACAAACCAAGGUGAGGACCAAAAGCAAUGUCUUCAAAGUCAGCAUAAUUUAAAUAUUGCCCCUUUGCUUCUUCCCCUGACCAGCUGUCUUGCUAUUUUAUUGCAGGUUUCACAAACAAAUAACUGGCCAAGGUUCCCCAGAAGGAAAAUGCCUGCAUAAAAGAUUCAAUUAAAUUGAAAUUACUCAAUUCAGACGGCGUGUGUGCAAAGCAGACACUGCUGUACUACGAAACCAGGCACAGAUAUUCAGCUACAAAUUUCCAUGCUGGACCUCCAAUUCAGGCCCUAUUUCCCUACAGUGUACAAAUCAGAGCUCUUCUGGUUCCAUAGCGGUGAGGAUGUCAUCGUACUCUUUUUCUUACUCUUUUUCUUCUGAGGAACUGUGGGAGGGUGCAAAGAGGAGCUUAGGAAAGAAUUCUGUAUUUUCUCUUAGAAACUAAAAGCAUUUCAUUUUUUUUCUCAUUUAUUUAAAUACCAAGGUGAAAUAGGAUGAGAAGUAGGGUCAGAAAAUAAUCCAAGACAUAGAGAUAACUGUAAUUUCGGUAAUACUCCAAAAACAGCCAUUUCAGGGCUGGGGGGUAAAGAUGUGUUUUGUGUGUGUGUGUGUGUACAUCUAAAUGUGUAAGAAACUUACUACAAUAUACAGCUCCAAAAUCAGGUGUUAUGUAUUCGGCUCUCCUUUCACAGAGCUGAAAUCAAACUGAAUAUUUAAUCCUAAGUAUAAACUAAUGACCUGAUCUGGAAUCACGUAGCAUGAAGACAGAUUACUGUUGGCAUUCAGAGUCCCACAGAAAUCCCUGGGACAUUGUAUGAGCCUGCCUCUAUGCCACACAGUGCUAAAUCAGGGCUCAAAAAAUAAUGCUGGAACAGACUGAGAUAUUCAUUUGCAGGUACCAUACUUAACAGCAUGCCUCCCCUAACAUUCCUCUUGUUUUGAAGGUUGGUAGAUCUAGAUGAUAUUUCCCAUACCCAAAGCAAUAUGCAGGGUGUUCAAGUAAUAAUGUGCUUUCAUUAUAAAGUUUUGCCGUGGAAGGCUUAUAACUCCAAAUGAAAUAAAACCAACUGAAGCCAAACCUUGAGCUGUUUAUAGAAGCUUGCAAGUGACAAGCAGGGCUUGGGCAAGGACUGGCCUGUGCUUUCCUAUGCUGAACUAAUUAUUGCACCAUGAACUCUGGACGAAAUCUCUGCCCUGUCAGACUGAUGGGAGCUUUGCCACCGGCUCCAGUACUGCCCAGGGUACACCCUCUGGCAUAGGCUCCGUGCCACAGCCUAAUGCAAUCUGCACUGUGAGCCCCAUAAGUUCAUAAUCUCAAAAGCCAAAAAUUAGCAGGCCAGCUUGUAAUCACCCAAUCUUUCUCUUCUCAGAGGGCCAGCUGUGUUAGUGCUGCUGGGUACCAAAACACAAGCAAGGCCCCGCACAGCUUCGGCAGCACUGACAAUAAUUUAUUAGUAUGCACUACCCAAAUUCAAAGACUUUCCAAGGAAGUUUGACUGCGGCGGUAGCAUUCUGAUUUAUGAAGCUCGGUUAUCAUUUUUAAACCACAGCCCAGCUCCCAGUUUGACUUGACUGACAGUGACAGAUCCCCAGCACGUCUGUCAGGCAGCUCGGGCUGCUCCAUGUCCCUGUGUCACAAGUGGGCACAGCCCCAUGACCCCAGCCCUGAAAGUGUGCCCACCAGCAUCUCACUCCAAAUAUAAAGACAUAAAAUUAGUAAACAUCUGAUUCUACAAAAUCGUCUGUGCGUAAAUCCAAGCUUGCACUGCAUCCACUAUUGCAGUUAGAAAUGUCAGUCUUGCAAAAUAACCAAAGAAGACCAAAAGCCACCAGAAAUCUCAUACCAGACGCAUGAUCCUUCCAUGCCUGCGUGGAUAUUUGCUACUUCUAAAUACAGACAUUGAAUGCUCUGUCUCUCUCCCUACACCACACCAUUGCAUUUUCCAUAAACCACUUCAGAACAUAUUUGAACAUGCCUACUUACUAGGAGCAAAAUGUCAUACAACCCAAACAUCCUCCCCGUGUGGAGAAAGAACACUCCCUACUGCACUAGAGGAGUACGGACAGUUAUGAAGAUCUAAGCAGCGGAAACACGCCUGUCUGGAGUCCAAAGGAAUUACAUUAAAGAUGCUCAAGUGUCAUUUUAAGAGUCUGUACCUUGACAUCAAGCAGCCAAAGAUUCUUUUAUGGUCUUUCUUCAAACAAGAAGGCAGAAACACAAGUAGGGAUUUUCUUUUAUGCCCAGCAAGAUAAAAACCGAGCGUAAACACUGCAGUAUUUAUUCUCAUAGCAAUCCCAUGGAACACACUGUUACUCCCAUUUUACAGAUGCAGAACUGAGUCACAGAAGGACAAGCUGCCUCAUGGCUAUAAAGGUGGCUUAGGAAAAUAAGUGGAGGGCUCUGGGUCUGCAUCCAGUGUCUGAGCCACAAACUCAGCAUUCAUCCUUUGUAAUAAGGUCAGCUUUGCAUCCAAAAGCUACAAAGGUGCUAAAGGAAUUCUGUAAAUCCUCCUUCUCUAAAAGCUGCUAAAAGCUACAUGACAUUAAGAUGAGAACUGGUAAACCUGGGCUCCAGUAACACAUCCACUCAAGCAGCUCCAAAGAAAACGGGAAAAUAGGUGUUUCAUAGCUGGAGCAAGAAAGAGAAAAACAAAAUGUCUCUGCAAAUUAUUUUGUUUGUGUGAGUGAUGUGCUUUUGCUGAAAGACCGGUGUGUGCAAAAAGGGUAUAUUUUUGGUAUGUCAGCUUCAAUUACCCGCAAUCUGAGAGUGAAAAGCGACAGCCUUCUCCCAAUGAGCGCUUCCAAAGGAGCUGCCCAUCAGAGCAGAGCCCUGCUCCCCGGGUGACCUCUGCUGCUUUAUGGCUGGGCAGGAGGGCACCGAGCCAUUUCAUCUGAACUCAUUUGGAGAAAAGCGCUUGUUGGAUGCUGAUUUCCAGCAGCCGCUGUCCUCCAAGAGGAAUACUCCCAGUAUUUCACUCUGAAUGCUAACAGGGUCAGUCUGAACCCCUCUGCACUUUGCAUCUCGAUGCGCAUUCACGGCCAUUUACAUCAUUUUGUAGAAAAACGUUUGUGAGCGAGUGAGGAAGCGGAUCCCAGUAACUGUUGCUGGGAUUAUUACUAUGGGGAAUGGAAGGGAGAGCAGAAAGUGGUGCUAGAGUGAAACGCAUCAGAACGCCGCAGCACCUUGAGCUGCAGGCAAAGGCACAACUUUGGGCAGGAUACCCAACACUGAACCAGGCAGCUGUUCAUAGCCUGCUUGUUUUCUUGCCGUUCUGUAUUCACUAUUUAAACAGAAAUUACAGCCUCUUGUUUCACUCGCAUGGCUCGGAGGCCCCGUAAUCCCCCGUAUCCUUGGCUCUGUCACCGUGCCUGCUGACCCUACAGCGAGCAGGCUCUGACCACCAAAUGCGAGCAGAAUAAAUUAUCGCUGACACUCCAAUAUUUAAUUAUGCAGCUGUCAGAGCGGCCCUUUCGAAAUUCAUUUUAAUAAAGUGGGAACUUUUUCCUUUCAAGGUUAGAGUCAGGGGAGUCACCUUCUGUGUCAGGCUGAGGUCUCCACCAUGAGCUUUGCAUUCUUCCCCGAGAAGCCUGUCACUUGGCCUGAUAGAAGGACCAGAUAACGGCCCCGAUGUCUAUUGGCCUCCCCCGCCCUGCUGGAAUGAACAUCCUUCAUUUAAACCCACAAUAAUGAGGACCUCAAAGUCAGGCAGGCAGCCACAAGGGCAGCUCGUCAGGAGAAAAAAAUGGCUUCUUAUUAUAAAAUUCACUCCAUGUUAUAGCGGCAAUCUAAAAGCAAUCAUGUUCAUCUCACCGUUUUAACUGGUUAACCAGAAAUAUUUUACAUGUUAAAAAAAUGUGAACAGAAACCAAAUGUAUGAAGCACAGCAGCCUGUAUUUAUCCGCACCAAACUGAGACAAGUGGAGGAAUAUUGCUUUGGAUUUUGUGACGAGCAAAGUAUCCAGUUAAACCUUUAGGCAAACACUUAGAUACCAGAGCUACGGAAACUCCUUAUAAGCACGCAGUCCAUAACACACAACAUACACACACCAUAAUGCAUAUGGCAUAUCGAUCUUAUGUGCUUUCACAUUGAUCAUAUGUGCUUCUGAGGUACUUAAAUGAAAAGCUGCUGUGUGUGCAUACUGAGCUGUGCACACACACAUACAAGCAUAAUGUAUUGAUAUGCACAUGAAACCACCCCGUGUUACACAGUGCUGGCCAUGAGAAACCUUGCCGAGACUAUUUUAAAACACAGGCGUUCUUCAGCUGAGCCUUCAGAUUUGCAGCCUGUAAACUUUUCCUUUUUUCAGUGUGCAACUGGGAGAAAAAUAGACACAAUUUUAUCACACAGAACCAAAGAAUACGUGAGCAUUGUUGACCUAAGGAUGAAAGGGUGAGAAAGAAGGAAGAAAAGAGAAGGAGAGAAAGAAGAAAACAAAAGCGAAAACAAGCAAAAACUAACCAACAUUGAUUCCAAAUCUUCUUGUUUCACUGUGACUACACAUCUAAUUUCCAAGGUACAGUAACAACGUUAGUAAUAACUUUGGCUUACACACCAUAUUUCAUCCUGGGUUCCUGCGUGCUGUAUGAGCACCAGAGGUUUAGCUACACAACAUUUUCCCAAGUAUGAUUAUACAUCUUUUAGAAACGGGGAAGCAAAAAACACAUUCACUGUGUGUAAGCUGGGAACUGAAGUUCUUUCAGAAGCCCCACAUUUGCUCAUGAGAAAGGAGUUAAUGGGAUCCCAUUGCAUAGGUGCUGAGUGUCCCAAGGCAAUGAGUGAGCCAGUGCCUGACACAGAAAAACACAAACUUUUGCAAAAAAAAAAAAAAAUUUUUUUUUUUUUUACUUAAUUUGAUCCACAGUGAAGUCAAAGCCAAGAGAGAACAAUAUGACUCACUAGUACAAAACGUUUUAUUUUCUGGGUUCAUUAGCGCUAAUGAAGAACAGGUGUGCGGUACCAGGGGAAAUGCUGUGCUCAGCAGCGAUCCAGCACAUCCUGCCCAAGUCAGGCCCCAACAUUUGGUCUUUUGCACUGUCCCUGCGUGGGGGUGCACUCUGCAUCUCACAAACAAGGCACAAAUGAAUGGCUAUCCACAAAACGAGCCACGGAAAGUACGUAAUGCAUAGAAAAGGGGUAAAAGUUCACUCCUGCUUCACCGUUUUCCCAGAUUUGCAGGGUUGUGCUAGGAGACUUCACAUCUGAAGAUGAAGUGGAAAUAGCUCACAUGCUGGUUGUUUUCAAUGAGAGGUCAGAACUCCUCACCACAGAUGAGGUGCUUUCUAUCAACAUUUCUUUCUGAUUCAUUUCUUUGCCUCAUAUCCACCUAGCAGAGCUAACAGCACACAGUGGGGUUCACCCUGCUCAACAUCAGGUACCUACACAGCAGCCUUUGAGUAAAUGCUGAUGGCUGACUGACCCUUUGGAGGUACUGACCUACUAUCACACAUGCCUCAAGUAGUGGGAAUCUGGGCCUUGGACAGCAAUUUAUUGACUGUACAUGAAGUACACAGCCAACAGGAACCCACUUCCAAGAGUCCUACGCAUGUUUCUGGGCUAUAAAUAUUAACAACUGCUGCUCUUUUUGUACAACUUGGGCCAAGAUUAUCUCCCACUGCUUCCUGCUUCAGGUCCUUUCACUUCAUAUUUUUUCUGUGUAAUUUAACUUUGAUAGAGGCAAAUAUUUUGACACACUGUCUGUAUAUCUCAGAGUGUAAAGAGAUGAAUGCAUCUUCUCACUGGCCUGGAAUUCUCCAUAGAUGCUUACUAUAUAGCAACCACACAACAGGAAUUGAAAGUAAAACCCUAAUACAUAAAGAAAGUGUAUUUAUAUCUGUUAUGAGCAUAGGGAAAUAAGCACUUUAAAACAUCUUUGUCUUCAGUUUGUUUUGCCGUAUAGCUUCAGCUUCACACAAGAGCAAUACUCCCAAAGGUUUCUGAUGAACACUUCAGUUUGGGCAGCACAGUUCACCCCCUGGGGUAUGUCACAGUGUUCUUAUAACAAUGACAGUCCUGGGACAACAAUGACCCUUAUGGGUUCCCUCCAACGAGAGUUAUUCUAAGAUUCAGUACAGACUUGCUGAAUCCCACUUGUCAGUACUUACAGAAAAAAACAUAUAUAUAUUAUAUAAAUAUCCUAUUCUGCCACGUGCACACACCAAACAUCCUGGCUGAGUGAACAACUGUUGUAUGUAAACGAACAAUUGUUGGAUGUACAGAACAGCAAAGCCGUGAUUCUAAGGAGAAAACAAGGAAAGUGGCAAAUAAAUUCUGACUCGACGAGAAGCCUGUGCUAACCUGGCACUGAGAGACUUUUCAGUCCACAAAUUCCUUCCUGUGUAAAUUCAAAGAAACAUAACUAGAUUGAGCAUUGCUUUAAUACCUGCUGGUGUGGCUUCCCACAGUGUUCACUGGGUUGUUAAAGAUGACAAAGAUUUGCCUUGCAGAGACACAGUGAGAAAUACAGUCACAGAUGGGUUAAUUGUUCACUCCUCGGAUCUUACCAUUUUUAUUUUGGUUUAAAUCUAACCUGUUAUUAUAACAAGAACACUCCCUGGCCUUGUGUACAAGACUCAAAUAUAAUCAGCGAUAUCACACUGUCCCUUAAUAGAAGGUGCAAUAUAAAAAAGAUCAUUUAAGAUGCCAGUAGCUUCCCUCCUGACCCUGCCUGGCUGAGAGGCAAAUUGCAUUAGAAAAUGACAUGCCAUUCAUCUCAGGAGUAGUUGCAGGAACAUUUAGCUAAUUAAAUGAUUAAUAAAUUUAACACUGCUUUAUAAUUUCAUUUAGCCGUGUUGGAAAUCACACGGUGCACUGCGUGUGCACCGAAUGAGAUUAGGUGGGAGUUGUGGGUUUCACCGGCUGCCCUGGUAAUUGAGAUUAGUCUAUUACUACAGUGACCUUUUUAACUUUUAUAUUCUCUUGUUAAAGUGAAAUAAAAUUUUAUUCACUUUUAAGCCGUAUUUACUUAGUGAAAUUUACGUGAAAUUAAAGAAAUACUAAGCUGAGAAGUAUUUUUGUUAGCUGUUCAUUUUCUUCAUGCUCUUUUAAGCUUAUUUUGCACCUCUUUAUGAAUUCUUGUUUUAAUUUGGCUGCCUACACCACUGCUGCACACUUUGAAACAAACUCCCUUUAUCACUCCAAGUUCACAGGUAAAAAAUAAUGCACCCAAAUGUUGCAAAACCAAACAGCAGAGCAAUGACUACAUCCAACACCAGCACUGGGUUUGGAACAUGCAGUUUGGUACAUACCAAAAAGCCAUAAUAAAGACAUACCUAAAUAUUUGCAGAUUUACUGCAGCUUUAUCUGGAAGCUACUCUGGGAGUUGCUGCUAAAUGGGAAUCUAUCUGUUCUAGCAGUGUCAGCUAAGCAAGCACAAGGCUAUCACCACACCCAGCUGUGGGCAGCUGCUGUGUUUAUGUCAGAGGAGAUCUACACAGUUUUUGUACAUCCAUCUUCACACACAGCUUUAGCAAAAAUGACCUCACUUAUUCAGAAGCAUCACCACUCAACACAUAAUUAUUUCUUGUAUACACAGUGUUCAAACUCCCUUUCUUAGGGGGAGAAGGGGAGACAGAAAAGAGUCAGUUUCGACAUUCGACCCAACUUGUGGCACCUUCAGACAAUCAGCAUAGGUCAGAAGGCUAAUUCUCAGGUAGUUCAAAUAACCAAAUAAACUCAGAAUCCCUACAUAAAAUAACCUUUGUCUGUUCAGACUUAGCUUGCAGUUAUCUUCACGUUAAAAGCAUCAUCUAUUCACAUAAAAUUUCAUCAGUACAAGGACUCAUUUUAUCAGUUCUUGGAAAACUUGUCAGAAUUAUUGACACUUAAGCCAACUCCGAACAAAUUUUCAAUCAAUACGUCUAAUGCUAGGAGAGACGUUUCAUGUGUUUCCUCUUAAACAGAUGUGUGUUUAUAAAACAGAAAAAAAUGAAUUAAAAUGCAUAUCACUACUGAAGACUGGUCUCUAUCUGAUACACAUGGUAAGCCACUUCAGAAAGUACGUUUGAAAGCGACGUCAGAACAGUGCUGGCUUUUUCUGGGCUCCUCAUCACUCAAGAAAGGGAUAAACUACUUGAUAGACUGCUCAUACAAUAUGGGUGUAAAAUCUAUGGUGGCUGAAGUGAAAUGAUGUAGUGGAAAUGGGAUCUGACAAGAGCAAGUAAUGGUUCUGCUCACUUACUCUGCUAAAAUAAAAUUCCAAUAAAAAUGGGCCCUACAUGUAGGAGAAAAACUAUAUUUUCAGCAAACACAUUAAAUAUACCAACUACAGAAAAAAAAAAAAAGACAAAUUAUAGGUGAUAAUUAUAACAGCUAUUUACUGUGAUAAUUGGAAGGGAAAAGUAUUCCUAGAUUUCCAAACAGCACCAUCACCACAGAUGUGAAGAAUCAUCAACAGGAUACAGAGGUGCAUCACUGUCUUGAUGUAAGGAAAUAAAUUCAGGUUCUUUUGACUCAGUGACUAAGGUCCACCUGGUUUCAGCAGGACCAGAUUUCAACCCAAAAUCAGGAGACUAUUUUCUGGCCCUCAGGGCAGCAAAAGCCAAGGCCACGGCUGUGGGGGAAUAGUAAUGCCUCCCCUACUUUCAGUUGUGACUAAUGCAGACGCCUCUAUCUUAACGUCUAGACUUCCUUUAACAUCAAUAGAGAAAACUGCACAUUUUGUGAACAGUUCAUCUAACCUAAUUUAGUCAUUUACCCUACAGCAAGAGAAGCUGUGGCACUGAAGUGCCAUCUUCCCUCCUUGGACUACAAAGGGAAUGAAAACCUGCUAAUUUCAUGGGAAGAAAAAUGCCACAAAGCUUCAAGUUCUUGACAAGAACUGAAAAAUAGUAAAUUCACUCAGAGACCUCCAGAACUAAGCUCCUUCUCUUGGAAUAUGUGUAGGAUCAAGAGCUGUUACAAUGCUUCCGGGACAAAUGCACGAUACUUGGUGUACCAAUUGGUACCGAUUUAGCAGCUUUGACUUGGGAAGUCCUUUGAAAUCUGAUUCUUAUAUUCAGAACUCGCCCCAGAAAUAAAAUUAGUCAUGGCUAUUCUUAUUUUCAUAUAUAUAUAUUUUUUAUGGGAGUGGUCACUGUCAUUUGGAUGGGUAUACUAUUUCCUCUGGGGAAGCUAAUAUAUGACGCUGAUGAUCUGAUGACACGUACUCUAUAGACAAUAUCUUACAAAUGUCAGCGAGAAUACUGUUUUCUAUAAAAACAACAACAUAUGUAUAAAAGAAGCUAUACCUCUAAAAAAUAUAGCUUGUACAUUGGGCUUUCUACAACUGAAAGUGUAAUGUGAACUUUAUUUCUUCAAAACAAAGAUUAUUUAUGCUGGCAACCACAGAUACGACAGGAUCUAAAUAGCCAUUAUCCACUCACAACUGUGAGAAGCAGGAAAACCUAUCCAAUUUUUCCAGGAACUUAUGUCCAUUACUGUCUUCAUAAGUCACAAAUGAUGUUCCUUUAGACAAGAUCAACUGUACAUUAUUAAAAGGGAGGAAACCUUUAAAAUGACUGUUGCAUACAAACAGACAAAACUCAGUAAAGACUUGCAGAGCUCCCAUUAAUAAAAAAACGAGCCUACAGAAAAAUGUCAUAAAUGUUGAAUAGAUUGAUUAUUUCUUGAAGACUUUUUUUUUUUUUUUUUUUUUUUUUUUGCAGUUCUAGAAAUCAAUCUUUGGGGGAUCUGAUAGUAUUAAAACUCCAGGAGCUAAAAUGGUGAUUACUAAAGUACAUAGUUUACCUUUUAUCCACACCUACUUAUAUAAUAUCCUCUUUUGCAUCAAGGUAAGUUGACAGCUGUAUUCAGUUGUAACUUAAAUAUGUCUUAAAGACUACCCUUCUGAGUUCCAAUAUCAUGCACUGAUGUGGAAGUAUUGUCAUUGUAUCUUAUAAUUUGCACUGGGAUACUGUGUAAGGUCAAGUUUGUGUUUCAGUAAAUACUCUUUGAUUUUAAUUACCUCAAUAUAAGAAAUGAAAUCUUGGUUCCAGUAUCAGCAAUAUCAAUUUUAAUUGAUAUGAGCAAAGGAAGAUUUCAUCCCAGGUUACUUGAUAUGCACCUACCUGUACUUAUGGGGUAUGGGGUACCAUGGCUCAGAGUCUAGGAUUCACGUAGCUUACUGUCAAGUCAAAACCAAACCUUCCAAAACAUCUCAUUCAAAUGUGGUAUGAAAGGUCCACAGGAGCUUUAUAUCAAUCACCUUUCUUACAAUCAUUAUGUGUACAAAUGAGUUAGUCACGCUGUUAAGACUGUCAUCACUGAGGGCAAGAAUCAUGUGGGUCAAAGCUAAUUUAGACACUCGGCCACGUGAAUUUCUAGGACAGAAUAAAAAUACUAAUGGGAAAUGAUUGUCUUAUUCUGAAAACUAUUAAAGCCGCAUUAAUUAUCCAUUGUCAGUAACAGAUCAGUUGCUACAAAGGUGUUAUGGCCUUUAUAGACUGAGCAACACAUCUAUUGCCUUGACUCUAGACAAGCCAUCCAAUCCAAUCACACACAGAUUCUGGGCAGCAGCCAUGUUACUAGGACAGAACCAGUGACUUUCAGCAUGUCAAAAUAAAACAAAUUCAAAUCAAAACAAGAGAACAAAAAUCUUCAAGAAAUUCAUCCAAUGACUCAUGAAACUGACUCAAAACAACUUGUUCCAAAAAACCCCAUGUAUUUAUUCUUGAAAAAUAAUCAACACAAAAAACAAACAACUAAAUAACAAAAGACACAUUUACUUUCCUUUAAACUCAUGCAUCAUGUGUCCUCUCAGUCCAUCUUCACCAAACAAUCCCCAGAGAUAAAAGCCUUUCUCUUCUCUACAAACAGCCCCGGACAACAAAACUUCCCUCUUCUCUUCAGGAAGAGGGGAUUCAGACCAACUAUUCAAAACUGCUCUAAGCUCUGACUGCUAUCUCUUGUCUCUAGCAUUUCCAAAAGCUCCUUUCCUCUCAUCAUUACAGGUGUAGAGAUUUUAGACUCUUAACUUUGGUCUUCUGAAUUGCACUCAAAUUAGAUAUCUAGGAUAGAUAAGCUCAGGGGAGACCUUAUCACUCUCUAAAACUACUUGAAAGUAGGUUAUGGUGAGGGAGGAGUUGGCCUCUUCUCCUGUGUAACUAGUAAUAGGACUAGAGGGAAUGGCCUCAAGUUGCACCAUAGGAGAUUCAGGUUGAAUAUUAGGAAAAACAACUUCUCUGAAAGAGUGGUCAGGCACUGGAAUGGGCUGCCCAGGGCGGUGGUGGAGUCACUGUCCCUGGAGCUGCUCAAGAAACAUUUAGAUGUUGUUCUAAGGGACAUGGUUUAGUGGGAAAUAUUGGUGGUAAGUGAACGGCUGGACAAGACGAUCUUGAAGGUCUUUUCCAACCUUCGUGAUUCUAUGAUUGUCUAAAUUAGAGUGUUAGUUGCACCUACAAGGACCUUUUAAUUAUAGUUCCUAAGACAUGGAAAAACAGCAGUGUAACUUGCACUGGAGCUUGGAAAUUGCUCCUUCCCAGUUACUGGCCAGGCCAGCAUCCCCCUGUCCACAGGUUUUACCACAGCUCUUUUCCUGUUUUUUAUGGCAACUUCUUUUAAUUUAAUUCCAUGUUCUGGCCAAAAAACAAAAACAAAACAAGUCAACAACAACAACAAAAACAACCCACAAUAACAACAAAGAAAACAACAGGUAAACUGAAGCAGAGAUUAUACGUCUUAAAAGUAAUCUGACUAUUGAUUGUUCUACAUAAAUAUAUAACUAGUAGUGGCAAAGCAGCUGUUACUUUUCACACAUGAUGAGGCACAGUGAUAUCUCAGUUACCAAGAAGUGGCAAAUGAAAAUAUUAUAAGCAGCUGGAUUACAGCCCUGAGUUUCAUUUCUAACAGUGAUUUGACAGGUCGGAGAUGUCAAACUCAUGACGAGUGUGAUCUGACAUCCUAGUUAUUGAAAAUGGGACAUCUUUAUUAAAAGUAAAUGCAGCAGUGCUAAGGGGAAAGCACCCCUACACCUGGUCCUUAGUCAAACACUGGUGUCCACAACAGCUUGGGACAUUUGCACAGGAGCCUGCUGUUGCCUCUGGACAUUCCUAAAGAUUGAGGAGGAAUCCAUGUGUUGAAUCAAUUCUCCUGGCUCAAUCAGGAAAGAGCAGCUUGACCUCCCACUGUAAACCAAGAAACAUUGCAAGGUAUUUUCACACAUUUUUAUUCUUAUUUGUUGUUCAUAAAGUGAAUUCCAGACUAACUCUGAGCAUGUAGGUCUCAAUGCUACUUCCUCCCUCCCUUCCUCAAGUAGAAAAGAGUACACUUAAAUGCAUCUUGAAUGGCUGCCUCAGUAAAAUUAUGUUGGAUGCACAGAACAAGUAACGCCAUUCAAAGGAAAGAAAGAAAUGCUGUUACUUGUGUGAAGGGAAACCUGGCAAAUCUUGUAGCUCACGAUGAUGGGAAUUUAGCUGUUUUAAUUUCUGAGAUGGUUUAGUUUUAAUUGGAAUCAAUAAUGAUUCCCAAACUAAUUUUUAUGCCAGUGUCAAAUCUCUGCCUUGCAACCACUGAGACCAACCCAGCAAGCUUGGUGUGCUGAGCUCCAUAAGACCCAACUCUACUCAUGACUGACAUAUCUCACAGGGCUACGACUCGCAUUAAUAGGCUAUAAUCAAGGCCACAAUCUCCGUGAAGCCCCAACACGGUGGUUUGUGGCCAACAGACCUGCAUAAUCUUGCAGAUCUACACCAGAUGCCUCUGCUGGCACAAGCUCAAACCACCCUUUGGCUUGGUGCGAGCCAGCCGCACUGCACAGAGGAUGCAGAUAUUCCCACAAGAUUUGCCGGCACUGGUACCACACCCCUGGUCAUAAUGGAUGAUUUUCAGUGCUGAUGAGGAAGGGAAAGGGAAACUGAGUGUGUGCUGGUCAUCUUCCAGCAGCCUGACCUGACUGACAGCACAGCCGGCGCCUAUCCACUGGAAGAGAUGUCUGAACUGAAGAUGGAUUAGUGGUCAUGUCGGCUGGGCCAAAACAUCAGUUUCCACAAAGCUUGACUCUAUGCCUCUGGGUCCGUUUUAAAUGCCAAAAUGAUUUUUUCCUUCUUUUCAGUUGAGAAGCAACUGUGUACAUCACCUGCAGGAUGGUGUGUUUGCCCAGUCAGUUACUGAAGUGACUCUAGGCCCGCUACCCCUGCAAAAAGCACCACCAGCGUUAAACAAAUUAUUGUAAGCAGGAGGUCAGCUAAUCCUGCUCUCGGCGACCUCUGACCAGCACGCCAAAGGGAGGCAACGAAAAUUCAAAUGCACUGCUGAGGGAGACAGAAUUGUUAAAGCUGCCUUUUCUUCUCGCCGAGACAGGGUAAAACAAACUUCUAAAUGCUAUUAGAGAGCAAACCUCCGUAAAUAGGGAGAAGUGGCUCUCCGAGUCUUCUCCUUUAUGAUUAAUACGUUGUCAAGUCCUUCAAGUGCUUUCCCAUAAUGCAGAUAUUUAUUGUGGUUUCUUUUUUUUUUUUUUUCUUUUAAAGAUUCCUGCCUCAAAUCAGUCACUUUAUCUCAAUAUUUCACGGGUAACAAAAAUAACAAGAACAAAGGCAAGCAAAGGCACGGCCUGAACCAGACAAAAGGGAAUUGCAGUUGCACCAGAUCAAAGCCACCAGCUCUACAGAGGGACCCGAUUCCUCACUUUGCUGAGGCAAAAUGAUAAAAAAAAUGUUCCUGCCUGAGUUAAAACUGUGAGGGGUAAGGUAAGACAUCCAUGAAAGUUAAAGUGAAAGAAGAUAGGCCAGCCUUUCAGACUGGUGUGUUUAGAGCAGAAUUUUUCACUUAAGUAUUUACUUGUAGGGUUUAGGGGCAACCAAACAGAAGAAAGUAGGCCAAGAAUAUUUUAAUACUUGCACUAACGGCAACCUUAUUCACAACAAUGGCAUUUCUCCUCAUUUAGAGAAGUUUCAGUACUGGAAUAGCUAAGCUAGAAGUAUCUACACGCCCCAGCACUUCUUGUUUUUCUUUGGGACAAUGAACUCUCAAUGUUUUGAAAGUCACAACACUCAUAAACAAACCAAGUGAAGACUUUUCCUGCCUUCACUGUCAAGGUAGUCAAAUACAUAAUGUUUUUAUUGAAAAACUAAAACAGGUACUCGAAACACCUUCCCACUUCCUCUAGCUACUAACAAUAUAGCGGAAAAAUGUACGCAUCCAUUUGUAUGUUUUUGCUUGUGGGAUCUGCUAUCAUUUCUGUAAACAGAAGGUGAGAUGUGGAAAUUCCUUUGCAUCAAAGAGCGCAAUAAACACAAGAUAAACAAGUUACACCUCAAGUACUACACUGAGUAACAAGUUUUCAAGAGCCCUUCCAGAGAUGUAGAUUAGCGAUUGCAGGUGAUGACAGGGAGGGACACUGUUUUACAGAAUAACUCCCAAAGCAGAUGACAUUGAACCCAAAAUGUAGCAGAAGACAAGGUAAAUGGGACAACCUGUUUUCAGUGCAACUGGUCCAAUACCCUACCCUUGCUUUCAAAAUCUGUGUUUAGGAAGACUUGUUGGAAACUCUAUGAUUUCAGUAACUCUCUCUUUUAGCAGUUUUGGUAGGAGGGAUUUGUUUUUCACACGUGACUAGCAGCUUGUUCACCCAGGGAAGGCAAAAGUAAAAAAUCAAGUGAAGAAAAAAAGAGACCUCCCAACAUAAAAAUUCAGUGGAAACCGAACAUAGAUGACAAAGUCCAAACCAUUUUGACUGUUCCAAAAAACCAAUGUAUUCCCACUCACCCAUUUUCUCAGGUUUGAGUGGAGAGCUGUAUUAAGGACAAAACACUUUUUGGACCACUGAUGGCAGAUGGAAGGUAGGUUUCAAAUACAGGCACAAGUUCCCAGCAAAAGAAAACCAUUCCUCUCCCUCAGAGUACAGAGCACAACCCCAGAAAAUGUAUGUUUUAAUCAAAUUUUUGUUACAAAUACAUGGAAUUUUCUGAUUUAUCACCUUAUAUUUCUCCAAGACACAGCUUUUGAAAUGAAAACCUGAUGGAACUACAGUCCGUAGGCACAGUUAUAUCUCAUAUAAGCACACAAAGCUUGCCACUGAUUUCAGCAAGGGUCACAUUUAAACAAAUUUAAACUAAAUGUUCAGCUUCUGGUAGUUCCCAAGAUAAACAUGAAUGUGCCCCUGUGAUGUGAUAGCCGCUAAUGCAAAGGCACUGCUUUGUUGAUAUACAAAACCUUCUGCGAGCCAGAAACUGGUUAUUCUUAGUCAUCAAGAUGAGAUUCAAAUCUUCGGGGUAUUUGUCUAACCCUGUAGGCUUAAUCCUUUCCGAGUUAGAAAUUAUAAUAAACCAGAAGUAGGUUAGCAUUGGUUGUGGAUCACUGCAACGUGUAAAUUUGUUGGUCAGAUUAUGGGCUGACCCUACAUUUGAAAAAUCAUCAAUAGCAUAAUUACCAAAAAUACUACCAAAAUCCUGACUAGAUAUAUUUAAAUGGCCACAAAAAGACUUGUAUUUGAAGGGUGAAAAGGCAGGAACUGAUUAGCUUCAUGCUAGAAAAUUGACUUCAAAGUCAUCAGAAGUUCUCAGGACUGGAGGGUUUUUAUUGCCAAAGCAGGAACAAGGGGGGAGCUGCUGAAUGCAGCUGAUAUUCCAUUGAUAACUAAGUAGGAGAUGUAAAGCUGCACAAAAGAAGUUUAAAUAGGUUUUCAUGAUUCAGGCCAAAAGACAGUCUCACGUAGAAAACAUCUAGCUUUGUGCAGUGGCCCAUUUUCAACCAUGGGUUGAGAUCCUCUCACGCUUCUUUUGUUGUUGUUUUUGUAGGACACUUCCUGUUUAGGAAGAACUGGGGUUUUACUGUAAAUGAUUCCAAUAAUAUACUUCUCCUGCCACAACCACAACUCCAGUCCCUGUCUCUCCAAAAAUAAUACUAAUAACAAGUGGUGAGUUCAUGACACGUUACCUCGUGAUGCCAUUUGGCAGAAAGAAGAAACUGGAAGGUUGGUACGACACUGCUACAGAGAUCAAUCUUGUUUGAGCAUUUGUUUUUAUUACCUAAUGCAAUUGCAAAACACUUGCUUUAAGUAUAUUCCCCCUUCCUUCCUCUAUAUCAUUCUCACCCAAACAGCAUAAUGAAGCUCAUGAGUUCUGUAAGUGCCCCUUUGAGAUACCGCGUAGUUCUGCCACUGUUACCAGGAAGGCACACAGACAGACACAGCCUUUGAUUGCUGGCAUGCAAUGUAAUAUUUAUCAUUGCUACAUAUUCAUUUACUUCCUCAUCAGUGUCUUUUUUUGUUUUUAAUUUACUCGUUUACAUCCCUUCACAUAAUGCUCCUUUUUACUCCAUCACAAAACCAGAAAGCAAGAUGUGUUUUCAGUCAUUUGUAGAUUCCCAACUAAAGGAUCAAACUUUUGAGAAAGAUUAUCUUAUUUUCCAGACGUGAGAGCUUUAUUUUAAACUGAUCUGAGUUCAUUUAAAACAGAGCAGGGAUAUAAUGGAUUAUGAUCUAAACUUCAAGAACAUAAUUAUAUGGACAUAUGGAAGAAAGGCUGUAAAUUCACAAAGAGCUGAAUGAUCAUUGACAGGAUCAUGCACUGUUUUGAAAAGGGAAACAACACCGAAGCAAUGUAAAUAAAUCCUAUGUAAUAAAUACUUGAUCUACCUCCAUAUCGAGGUUUUUCUCAGAUACUAAAAUCAGGCCCUCUGUGUACUGUAAUGAGUUGGGAAUUACAUUUUCUUACUUGGUAUAUAUAACUGAUGGUGUAAAACUCAGAAAAGAAGGGAAAAAACAGUCAUUCCAGGGAUCAGUGUACAACUGGAAAUACUCAUCAUCUCAAGACAAACUGCUGAAUGUUAAGAGCUCAAAACCCAUCUUUCUUUAGUAUAAGGGUACAGAUGGUGUUGUCCAGGGGAAAGUCCAGCUCAGGAAUCUCCCCUAGCUCUCUCUUUCCACUGCAUAUUGCUCCCCUAAAGACCUCGAAAAGAGCUGUUAAUCGCUAUUAACUGAUUGCCACUACUCAAGGUAAAUGGUGAUAUUUUUUAUUGUCAGUUGGAAGUGAAUGCGUUCUGGUGUAUUCCAGGAGCUAGAUCUGCCACGCUGCUGACUCUAUAGCACAAGAUCCCCAUUGAAAACGGUCUUUUUUUAUUUUUUAUUUUUCUAAUGUUCAGCACCUCAAAAACAUUUCCGUGAACUUCUUGAAUUUCUCCAAUACAAAAUACAUCUUAGUGGAAACCAAACCUUUGGUUUUCAACCCAUUUUCUAGCAAGAAACGCUCGUUUUGUUAUUGAGAAACGAUGUUAUUUUAACACAAAAUAGUUAGAAGUGAGUGAGAUUAUUUCCAAUUUUUUCUUUUAAAACCUUUUGGGUGUUGGGUUGUUUUUUUUGUUCUGUAGUCAGUGAGUUGCCCCGCCUGUCUUAGCUUUUUGACACCUUAAUGAUGAUUUGAAAGAGAAACCAUUUUUCAAAUGACCUCAAAGGACCUAACCCUACUUUUAUAGCUUCUCUCAGCGUUUGUAAAAUAAUUUGAGAUUUUGUUUGGAGGAUGAUGACUACGUAAGUUCAGAGUGCUUGUAGUAAGAAAGUAAGACAGAAGAAGAAAAGACACAAUGUAUUUUUAAUCGAAUUGCCUGGAAUCUUUUUUUUUUUUUUUUUUUUUUUUGCCUAACUUGCUCAUCUUAUAACAUGAAAAUACAGGGGAACUGAAUGAUCAAGCAACUCCCCAUUAAAAAAAUGCAAAUAACCCAUUUUUAAUUUAAAAGAUAAGCUAAUUAAAAAUAAUGGCUGUGGACGGUUCCUGACAAAGCACUUCAAAAACAAGAACCACGUAUUUCAUGAGACUUUAGUGUUUUUUAAUUAAGAUGAUUUUUCAUUUCCCCUCUUCUUGAAUUGUGAUAAUAAAAAGCCGCAAUUGGAAAUGAAGUUGUUUUUUUUCCCAUAGAAAAGUAAAAAGAAGCAAGACUAAUGUUGCCCCUAAGUGGGAAGAAGAUAAAAAUUCCAGGCAGUUCCACUUGGCUUUAAAAGCUGCCCACAAAUUUUUAAUCAGGUGAAACGCUGCUCAUCAUCCAGCAGUAAAGCUGUCCACUGGUGUUACAGAAUUAUAGAAUGGCUUGCAUUGGAAGGGAUUCGUAAGAUCAUCUAAUUCCAACCCCCAUGUCCCAUCAGCACUGCCAAGAUCCAAGCAAGGCUUGGAGUGACGGGGCUCGGUUCUCCUCCUCCAGACUAGGCAGCAGCAUCCAGCUCUGUACUGUUUCCCUAGGCUGGAUGUAUCAAUACUCUACAGCUCUUUUGAACUACUCUGGAGACACAAACCAGUGUAAAUGGCCAGGUGAGGUAGAUUUGCACCCCUUUUCAGCCAGCGUACGGGUGCAAAGCAGAUAAUGGAUUCUAAUCUGGACACUGAUGUCCACUGUGCUGUUUUCCAGAGAUAGCAAGGAGAAGAGCAGACACAGAUUGCAGCAAACAGACACAAGUACAUAACAUCCACAUGACCCAAGCAGGAUUAGAAGAUACAUAUUUCUUGGAAAUGUUGUGUUUGUGGUCAUAGUCUUAACAAGAGGAGCAAUGUGGACGAGAGAGCACGUGUGGCACUGCAAAUCACUGAUGCAGUUUCUGAUAGGGAAGAGGUACCAAGUAUUGGGGGAGGAAUGCGUGCAGAGAGCCUAAAGGGCAGAGCAGCCCCUGAUGGGUAAGAACCACAUCCUUCCAGACUAAAUUAUUUUGCGAUUCAAUGAUAACUUGCCUUUCCUGUGCAUCUGUGCAGUCCGACCACUCUGUUUUACAGCUGGUUAGCCUACAUUCUGUUAACUGGAGUACUGUACUGAAAAGUCAUCACCUAUUUCUAAUUCCAACGUACACAAGGCUUACAGCCAUGGUGUAAGCACACACGGAGCCUGAAGAAAAUAAGACACUAUUUACCAUCCACUCUCCUUGCCCUGAAAAGCACAAAUUUACAAGUCUCUGUACCUUUUUGGGUUUAUAACCAUGGGGUGAGAAAAAUCCCCUUGCACACUGGAAAGGUGGGGUUCAUGAGUAAUCAGGAAACCUUUGUAGGCUUGUAAAAUGCAAGAGGCAUACCUUUUCAGCUCAUAGGUCAUAUAUUAUGAACAGAGCCCGCAGUUAUUAUACAAUCAAAUUUUAUAGAGUUUAACUGACUCUUUGAAAGCAAUCUAAGGUGUUUAAAAUGAGAAAACUCCAAGAAAAACAGUCUGGAGUAUCUGAAGAUGCUUGCAAAGCUGUUAAGUAAUUCAUUUGAGUUGUGUUUCUUGCUGCAGAAUUUAUCAAGUUGAGAGAAAUACAUGCCAUCAGCUUUCAAUCAGAAUAUUUAGCGGUGCUAACACUUUUCCAACACUAAUAUAGGGUCUUUAGAAAAAGCCAGCCCAUUUCCCCUUCUUGGAAUGCAAGAAAAGAUGACUUACUUUAUUUUUACCAAUUUAAUCUUCAAAACUUCAAAGUUUGUUUUCUGCUCUCUCUCUCUCUUUUUUUUUUUUAAGGCAGAAACCCAGUCUCCAUAGGAUUACAGCCAAAUAUGUGCAACAUCAGAGUACACCUGGAAGUCAUUAAGACCUGCACUUCAAAUCUUCCUGCAAGGAGAAGGGGGGAAUCCAUCCUCCCCUUCUCAAUGUUGACACCCUGUUUCUAUUAGGGAAACCUUGAGCCAGAGGUGUUCAAAAUAAGGAGUUAAACUGCAAACAAACACAUUAUAAAGAAACCUGCAAUCCUGCUCCAGGGUAGGGUCAGAGGCCAAUUAUGUCAGUUUGAGAUAGACAGAAACCUCAUAAAGGACCAGAAAACUCCCAAAGAAUAGCAUGAAAGCUUUCAGAGGUGCUUAAAUGUGUGAAUAUUUAACACUGAAAUGCUCAGGAAUAAUUUAACUUCUCAAUCGUGUUCGCUUAAAAAUCUUAAGUAGAAACGAACUAAAUCAUUCAUUCUUUCAUUGUAAUUUUCUUGAGAUUUAGGCUCAAUUCCAUGACAUAUUUACAUUUCUUUAAAUAAAGUGCUAAUAUGAUUUAGAA